UCUUCAGUAGUAUAGUGGUUAGUAUUUCCGCCUUUCACGUGGGCGAAAGGGGUUCGAUUCCCAGCCGGGGAG